GCUGCUACAUAGAGUGCUCUAGUGACAUCCAGAAAAUGAACUGGCUAUCAGCAGAGCCAAUGGAAUUUGGGAUGCUGGAGGAUAUCAAUAAGCAUCUCAUCACUGUAGGAGCAGGGAGUAUGGUAGUGUUCCAGGAAAACCAAGCUGAGAUUUCCAUGAGCUGUGAAGAUGAAGAAUUACAGCACAUUGAAACAUUUAAAUUUUAAAACAUACUUUUUAAUGGAGAAACUGAGACCGAGAGCUUGAGAGAUGACCAAGAUCACCAAGAGCUGGAUUGUAACAAUCCAUCCCAAGCAAGCGGAAGUAGGGGACCGCACUUCUCCAGUGGCAAGGCAGAUACCAGGGUCUGCCCUUGGGUGCAGCUCUCUUGCUCCAGGUGAGGAGUCUGCUACGCUAACCUUCUUUCCUGGCACAGUUCACUUCCCUCCACCUGAACUGGCUUCAGCUGUUCCUGCCCACCUAAUCCGGAGUAGCAGCAGCAGCCUGGCAGUAGGUCCUCUCUCCCAUAUGUUAGCUCCGGUGAUGUGGGUUGGCACCACAGGAGACUAAGGGCUUGUUUUCACUACAGGGGUGAAUAAUGUAGCUGGAGUUGAUGUAGCUUAGGUUAACUUAGCCCGGUGUCUUUACUGUGCUGAGUCAAUGGGAGACACUCUCUGGUUGACUACCUUACUCUUCUCGGGAGCUGGAGUACCAGGGUCAACCGGCAAGUUCUCUGCCAUCAAUUUAGCAGGUCUGACACGCUAAAUCGACACCCGCUGCAUCAAUAGCAGCAGCGUUGAUCUCCUCAGUAGUGAAGACCAGCCCUAAGUGGGCUCCUUACACUCCUUUACUUUGCUGCACAGCUGUGCAAGAGGACUCAUGACUGAACCCUAUGUGAAUCUUCGUGAGAAAUGGGAGUAGGACUCGAGAUCCUGGAUCCCAGAUCUGUGCUAAG